rnacentral:rRNA from 1 species
GAUGAACGCUGGCGGCGUGCCUAAUACAUGCAAGUCGAGCGAACGGACGAGAAGCUUGCUUCUCUGAUGUUAGCGGCGGACGGGUGAGUAACACGUGGAUAACCUACCUAUAAGACUGGGAUAACUUCGGGAAACCGGAGCUAAUACCGGAUAAUAUUUUGAACCGCAUGGUUCAAAAGUGAAAGACGGUCUUGCUGUCACUUAUAGAUGGAUCCGCGCUGCAUUAGCUAGUUGGUAAGGUAACGGCUUACCAAGGCAACGAUGCAUAGCCGACCUGAGAGGGUGAUCGGCCACACUGGAACUGAGACACGGUCCAGACUCCUACGGGAGGCAGCAGUAGGGAAUCUUCCGCAAUGGGCGAAAGCCUGACGGAGCAACGCCGCGUGAGUGAUGAAGGUCUUCGGAUCGUAAAACUCUGUUAUUAGGGAAGAACAUAUGUGUAAGUAACUGUGCACAUCUUGACGGUACCUAAUCAGAAAGCCACGGCUAACUACGUGCCAGCAGCCGCGGUAAUACGUAGGUGGCAAGCGUUAUCCGGAAUUAUUGGGCGUAAAGCGCGCGUAGGCGGUUUUUUAAGUCUGAUGUGAAAGCCCACGGCUCAACCGUGGAGGGUCAUUGGAAACUGGAAAACUUGAGUGCAGAAGAGGAAAGUGGAAUUCCAUGUGUAGCGGUGAAAUGCGCAGAGAUAUGGAGGAACACCAGUGGCGAAGGCGACUUUCUGGUCUGUAACUGACGCUGAUGUGCGAAAGCGUGGGGAUCAAACAGGAUUAGAUACCCUGGUAGUCCACGCCGUAAACGAUGAGUGCUAAGUGUUAGGGGGUUUCCGCCCCUUAGUGCUGCAGCUAACGCAUUAAGCACUCCGCCUGGGGAGUACGACCGCAAGGUUGAAACUCAAAGGAAUUGACGGGGACCCGCACAAGCGGUGGAGCAUGUGGUUUAAUUCGAAGCAACGCGAAGGACCUUACCAAAUCUUGACAUCCUUUGACAACUCUAGAGAUAGAGCUUUCCCCUUCGGGGGACAAAGUGACAGGUGGUGCAUGGUUGUCGUCAGCUCGUGUCGUGAGAUGUUGGGUUAAGUCCCGCAACGAGCGCAACCCUUAAGCUUAGUUGCCAUCAUUAAGUUGGGCACUCUAAGUUGACUGCCGGUGACAAACCGGAGGAAGGUGGGGAUGACGUCAAAUCAUCAUGCCCCUUAUGAUUUGGGCUACACACGUGCUACAAUGGACAAUACAAAGGGCAGCGAAACCGCGAGGUCAAGCAAAUCCCAUAAAGUUGUUCUCAGUUCGGAUUGUAGUCUGCAACUCGACUACAUGAAGCUGGAAUCGCUAGUAAUCGUAGAUCAGCAUGCUACGGUGAAUACGUUCCCGGGUCU